rnacentral:rRNA from 1 species
UUACCAUGCAAGUCGAACGAUGAUCCCAGCUUGCUGGGGGAUUAGUGGCGAACGGGUGAGUAACACGUGAGUAACCUGCCCUUGACUCUGGGAUAAGCCUGGGAAACUGGGUCUAAUACCGGAUAUGACCAUCUGGCGCAUGUCAUGGUGGUGGAAAGCUUUUGUGGUUUUGGAUGGACUCGCGGCCUAUCAGCUUGUUGGUGGGGUAAUGGCCUACCAAGGCGACGACGGGUAGCCGGCCUGAGAGGGUGACCGGCCACACUGGGACUGAGACACGGCCCAGACUCCUACGGGAGGCAGCAGUGGGGAAUAUUGCACAAUGGGCGCAAGCCUGAUGCAGCGACGCCGCGUGAGGGAUGACGGCCUUCGGGUUGUAAACCUCUUUCAGUAGGGAAGAAGCGUAAGUGACGGUACCUGCAGAAGAAGCGCCGGCUAACUACGUGCCAGCAGCCGCGGUAAUACGUAGGGCGCAAGCGUUAUCCGGAAUUAUUGGGCGUAAAGAGCUCGUAGGCGGUUUGUCGCGUCUGCUGUGAAAGACCGGGGCUCAACUCCGGUUCUGCAGUGGGUACGGGCAGACUAGAGUGCAGUAGGGGAGACUGGAAUUCCUGGUGUAGCGGUGAAAUGCGCAGAUAUCAGGAGGAACACCGAUGGCGAAGGCAGGUCUCUGGGCUGUAACUGACGCUGAGGAGCGAAAGCAUGGGGAGCGAACAGGAUUAGAUACCCUGGUAGUCCAUGCCGUAAACGUUGGGCACUAGGUGUGGGGGACAUUCCACGUUUUCCGCGCCGUAGCUAACGCAUUAAGUGCCCCGCCUGGGGAGUACGGCCGCAAGGCUAAAACUCAAAGGAAUUGACGGGGGCCCGCACAAGCGGCGGAGCAUGCGGAUUAAUUCGAUGCAACGCGAAGAACCUUACCAAGGCUUGACAUGAACCGGAAAGACCUGGAAACAGGUGCCCCGCUUGCGGUCGGUUUACAGGUGGUGCAUGGUUGUCGUCAGCUCGUGUCGUGAGAUGUUGGGUUAAGUCCCGCAACGAGCGCAACCCUCGUUCUAUGUUGCCAGCGCGUGAUGGCGGGGACUCAUAGGAGACUGCCGGGGUCAACUCGGAAGAAGGUGGGGACGACGUCAAUCAUCAUGCCCCUUAUGUCUGGGCUUCCGCAUGCUACAUGGCCGGUACAAAGGUUGCGAUACUGUGAGGUGAGCUAAUCCAAAAGCCGG